UACGUAGGGGGCAAGCGUUGUCCGGAAUCAUUGGGCGUAAAGCGCGUGUAGGCGGUUCGGUAAGUCUGCUGUGAAAGUCGGGGGCUCAACCCUCGAAUGCCGGUGGAUACUGUCGGACUAGAGUGCGGAAGAGGCGAGUGGAAUUCCUGGUGUAGCGGUGAAAUGCGCAGAUAUCAGGAGGAACACCAAUUGCGAAGGCAGCUCGCUGGGACGUUACUGACACUGAGGCGCGAAAGCGUGGGGAGCGAACAGG
rnacentral:rRNA from 1 species